rnacentral:rRNA from 1 species
UACGGAGGGAGCUAGCGUUGUUCGGAAUUACUGGGCGUAAAGCGCACGUAGGCGGCUUUGUAAGUUAGAGGUGAAAGCCCGGAGCUCAACUCCGGAAUUGCCUUUAAGACUGCAUCGCUUGAAUCCAGGAGAGGUGAGUGGAAUUCCGAGUGUAGAGGUGAAAUUCGUAGAUAUUAGGAAGAACACCGGUGGCGAAGGCGGCCCACUGGAUCGGUACUGACGCUGAGGUGCGAAAGCGUGGGGAGCAAACAGG